rnacentral:rRNA from 1 species
UACGUAGGUGGCAAGCGUUUGUCCGGAUUUACUGGGCGUAAAAGAGCGCGCAGGCGGCUGGGCAAGUCCGAUGUGAAAGCUUCCGGCUUAACUGGAAAAUUGCAUCGGAAACUGCUCGGCUUGAAGGUGGGAGAGGGUAGCGGAAUUCCCGGUGUAGUGGUGAAAUGCGUAGAUAUCGGGAGGAACACCAGUGGCGAAGGCGGCUACCCUGGCCCACUCUUGACGCUGAGGCGCGAAAAGCUAGGGGAGCAAACGGGG